CGAGAGCCUGGGCUUGGGUGAAGCCAGGGUGUCCUGAAGGUCCUGGGCCUACAAGACUGGAGCAGCAUUGGGUAAUGGGCACCAGUGCCAUGGAUGCCAUCCGUGUGCAGGUCGGGACACUAGUCCUGAGCAUGAGAGAAUUCUGCUGAAAACGUUGCUGAUUGCUGCUGUAGGACGUUCAUCAACACAGAUGACCAGGGCUCACGCCAGUGCUCCUGCAAGCCAAUGAAGACCGAAGAAUCUCCAUUGCCUCAUCAUUGGGUUUGUUGGCUGUGUCAUCUGCCAGUUCAAUUCUGCUACUGAGCCCUUCAAUGAAGUUCCUG